GAAGCAAUCGGAAGUGGUUCCAAGAAAAGCCUCUAAGCUUCAGUCAUACGAGACCGUACCGCAAACCGACACAGGUGGGCGAGAUGAGUAUUCUAAGGCGCUUGAGAGAACUCGGGAGAAGGAACUCGGCAAAUUGGUACCGUAACUUCGGGAAAAGGUACGCCCCGGUAGCUUGAUUGGUUUACUCCAUGAGGGUGAAAGGGUUGCAAUAAACUGGUGGCUGCGACUGUUUAAUAAAAACACAGCACUCUGCAAACACGAAAGUGGACGUAUAGGGUGUGACGCCUGCCCGGUGCUGGAAGAUUAAAUGAUGGGGUGCAAGCUCUUGAUUGAAGUCCCAGUAAACGGCGGCCGUAACUAUAACGGUCCUAAGGUAGCGAAAUUCCUUGUCGGGUAAGUUCCGACCUGCACGAAUGGCGUAACGAUGGCCACACUGUCUCCUCCCGAGACUCAGCGAAGUUGAAAUGUUUGUGAUGAUGCAAUCUACCCGCGGCUAGACGGAAAGACCCCAUGAACCUUUACUGUAGCUUUGCAUUGGACUUUGAACCAAUCUGUGUAGGAUAGGUGGGAGGCUUUGAAGCGGGGACGCUAGUUCUCGUGGAGCCAACCUUGAAAUACCACCCUGGUUUGUUUGAGGUUCUAACCUUGGUCCGUUAUCCGGAUCGGGGACAGUGCAUGGUAGGCAGUUUGACUGGGGCGGUCUCCUCCUAAAGUGUAACGGAGGAGUUCGAAGGUACGCUAGAUACGGUCGGACAUCGUGUUGAUAGUGCAAUGGCAUAAGCGUGCUUAACUGCGAGACUGACAAGUCGAGCAGGUACGAAAGUAGGACAUAGUGAUCCGGUGGUUCUGUAUGGAAGGGCCAUCGCUCAACGGAUAAAAGGUACUCUGGGGAUAACAGGCUGAUUCCUCCCAAGAGUUCAUAUCGACGGGGGAGUUUGGCACCUCGAUGUCGGCUCAUCACAUCCUGGGGCUGUAGCCGGUCCCAAGGGUAUGGCUGUUCGCCAUUUAAAGUGGUACGUGAGCUGGGUUUAAAACGUCGUGAGACAGUUUGGUCCCUAUCUGCCGUGGGCGUUGGAAAUUUGAAGGGGGCUGCUCCUAGUACGAGAGGACCGGAGUGGACGUAUCUCUGGUGUACCGGUUGUCACGCCAGUGGCAUUGCCGGGUAGCUAAAUACGGAAGAGAUAACCGCUGAAAGCAUCUAAGCGGGAAACUUGCCUUGAGAUGAGAUUUCCCAGAGCCUUGAGCUCUUUGAAGGGUCGUUCGAGACCAGGACGUUGAUAGGCUGGGUGUGGAAGUGCAGUAAUGCAUUAAGCUAACCAGUACUAAUUGCCCGUACGGCUUGUCCCU
rnacentral:rRNA from 1 species